rnacentral:rRNA from 1 species
UGAGUAACCUGCCCUUAACUCUGGGAUAAGCCUGGGAAACUGGGUCUAAUACCGGAUAUGACUCCUCAUCGCAUGGUGGGGGGUGGAAAGCUUUUUGUGGUUUUGGAUGGACUCGCGGCCUAUCAGCUUGUUGGUGAGGCAAUGGCUCACCAAGGCGACGACGGGUAGCCGGCCUGAGGAGGGUGACCGGCCACACUGGGACUGAGACACGGCCCAGACCUCCUACGGGAGGCAG